rnacentral:ncRNA from 1 species
AAUAACCAAAUAUAGCACUUGGGUUAAGAGUCGAGUUCGUAAUUUUUCUUACAUCUCCACCGCUGGGAGCCCAAGUAUCAUAUACACCUCCAAAAUACAAAGCCUUGAGCACUGGAAGAAAAGCACCAACACCUAGCAAGAUUAGG